UACGUAGGUGGCAAGCGUUGUCCGGAUUUACUGGGCGUAAAGAGCGCGCAGGCGGUCGUUCAAGUCGCGUGUGAAAGCCCCCGGCUCAACUGGGGAGGGUCACGCGAUACUGAUCGACUCGAAGGCAGGAGAGGGAAGUGGAAUUCCCGGUGUAGUGGUGAAAUGCGUAGAUAUCGGGAGGAACACCAGUGGCGAAGGCG
rnacentral:rRNA from 1 species